rnacentral:rRNA from 1 species
GUGUCAGCCGCCGCGGUAAUACGGAGGAUGCGAGCGUUAUCCGGAUUUAUUGGGUUUAAAGGGUGCGCAGGCGGGAUCUUAAGUCAGCGGUGAAAUUUUCAGGCUCAACCUGAACACUGCCGUUGAAACUGGGAUUCUUGAGUAUAGAUGAAGUAGGCGGAAUUCGUUGUGUAGCGGUGACAUGCUUAGAUAUAACGAGGAACUCCAAUUGCGUAGGCAGCUUACUAAGCUAUAACUGACGCUCAAGCACGAAAGCGUGGGGAUCAAACAGGAUUAGAUACCCUGGUAGUCCACGCUGUAAACGAUGAUUACUAGUUGUUUGUGAUAUAUUAUAAGUGACUAAGCGAAAGCGAUAAGUAAUCCACCUGGGGAGUACGCCGGCAACGGUGAAACUCAAAGGAAUUGACGGGGGCCCGCACAAGCGGAGGAACAUGUGGUUUAAUUCGAUGAUACGCGAGGAACCUUACCCGGGCUUGAAAUGUAGAGGAAUAACGAAGAAAUUUGUUAGCCAGCAAUGGUCUCUAUGUAGGUGCUGCAUGGCUG